rnacentral:rRNA from 1 species
AACGAACGCUGGCGGCAGGCCUAACACAUGCAAGUCGAGCGGACCUUUCGGGGUCAGCGGCGGACGGGUGAGUAACGCGUGGGAAUAUGCCCUUCUCUACGGAAUAGUCCUGGGAAACUGGGGGUAAUACCGUAUAUGCCCCUUGGGGGAAAGAUUUAUCGGGGAAGGAUGAGCCCGCGUUGGAUUAGUUAGUUGGUGGGGUAAUGGCCUACCAAGGCGACGAUCCAUAGCUGGUUUGAGAGGAUGAUCAGCCACACUGGGACUGAGACACGGCCCAGACUCCUACGGGAGGCAGCAGUGGGGAAUCUUAGACAAUGGGGGCAACCAUGAUCGAGCCAUGCCGCGUGAGUGAUGAAGGCCUUAGGGUUGUAAAGCUCUUUCAGCUGGGAAGAUAAUGACGGUACCAGCAGAAGAAGCCCCGGCUAACUCCGUG